GUGUUUCGAACGUGACGUGGGUGAUUCGAACGUGACGUGGGUGUGACGUGGGAGAUUAGAACGUGACAUGUUUGUGAUGUGGGUGUGACGUGGGAAAUUCGAACGUGACGUGGGUGUGACGUGGGUGAUUUGAACGUGACGUGGGUGUGACGUGGAAAAUUUGAAGGUGAUGUGGGUGUGACGUGGGUGGUUCGAACGUGACUUGGGUGGGGCGUGGGAAAUUUGAAGGUGACGUGGGUGUGACGUGAGUGUGAUGUGGGUGAUUCGAAGGUGAUGUGAGUGUGACGUGGGUGUGACGUGGGUGGCCUCGCAAACUAGUGACCCCUGCUUUUCUUCGUUGCUUCGCAAACUAGCGAGCCCCUGAGUCUCUUCGCUUCCUCGCACAAAAGGAAACCACGGCGUCUCUUCGUUGCCUCGCAAAACAGCAAUCCCCUGCGUCUGUUCACUGCCUACCAAACAAGGAAACCACUGCGUCUCUUCGCUGUGUAGGAAACUAACCGCUGUGUCUGUUCGCUGCCUCGCAAAUUAUCUCACAGCUGUGUCUUUUCGCUGCCUCGUACCCAAGCAAACCGCUGCUUCUGUUCGAUGCGUAGGAAACUAACAGCUACGCCUCCUGGCUGCCUCGCAAACUAGCGAGCACAUGUGUCUGUUUGCUGCCUCGCACACAAGGAAACCGCUGCGCCUCUUCACUGCCUCGCAAAAUGAGUGACCGCUGUGGAUGUUCGCUGUCUCACAAACAAGGAGACUGCCUAAUCUGUUCGCUGCCUGGCGAACAAGCAGACUGCUGCGUCUGUUCGCUGCCUCGCCAACUUGCAAAGUGCAGCAUCGGGUCRCUUCCAGGCGAAAAACCAAUACGCGAUGCGACUACUUCAUCUAGUGGACAAGCAAACCGCUGCAUCUGUUCGCUGCCUCGCAGAAUGAGUGACCACUGUGGAUGUUCGGUGUCUCACAAACAAGGAGACUGCCUAAUCAGUUCGCCGCCUGGGGAAAACCCAGACCGCUGUGUUUCUUCGCUGCCUCUCAGAAUGAAUGACCACUGUGGAUGUUCGCUGUCUCACAAACAAGGAGACUGCCUAAUCUGUCCACUGCCUAUCGAACAAGCAAACCGCUUUGUCUCUUGGCUGCCUCGCAGAAUGAUUGAUCACUUUGGAUGUACAGACACUGUAAACCAAUCAUACAGCUAUUGCUAGUGCAUGCUUAUUGCUUGUCUAUAUAUACUCUGUGUAAGCUCUAAUAAAGGGAGAAUGACCAUACUCA
rnacentral:lncRNA from 1 species